CGUGGGUAACCUGCCCUCGGCACCGGGAUAGCCCGGGGAAACCCGGAUUAAUACCGGAUGGCCCUUUCGGUCUUCGGACCGGUCGGCAAAGGUAGCUUCGGCCUCCGGUCGAGGAUGGGCCCGCGGCGGAUUAGCUUGUUGGUGAGGUAACGGCUCACCAAGGCAACGAUGGGUAGCUGGUCUGAGAGGAUGAUCAGCCACACUGGCACUGAGACACGGGCCAGACUCCUACGGGAGGCAGCAGUGGGGAAUUUUGCGCAAUGGGCGAAAGCCUGACGCAGUAACGCCGCGUGGAGGAUGAAGGCCUUCGGGUUGUAAACUCCUGUCAGGAGGGACGACGGGGAAAGGGUGAUAAAGCCUUUCCUCCAGACGGUACCUCCAAAGGAAGCCCCGGCUAAUUCCGUGCCAGCAGCCGCGGUAAUACGGAGGGGGCAAGCGUUGUUCGGAAUCAUUGGGCGUAAAGGGCGCGUAGGUGGUUCUGUAUGUCUACCGUGAAAGCGUACGGCUCAACCGUAUUUUGUCGGUAGAAACUGCAGACUUGAGGCUGGGAGGGGCUGGUGGAAUUCCCUGUGUAGCGGUGAAAUGCGUAGAGAUGGGGGAGACACUCGUGGC
rnacentral:rRNA from 1 species